UUUCCUUCCAAAUCCUUAAGUGCUAAAAUAAUUCAUUAUGGAAAAUACAAUGUUUGUGAUAUGGAAAAGAGAAGAAAAAAAUAUGUAUGAAAUUCUCAAGUAUGUUUAUGUUAUGCUUAUCAUGAUUUUCAUAUUUUUGGUUGCAUGCAAUGCAGAAGCUGGAGAAAGAGAAGAAAUUACCCCUUGUAAUACUGACUUUAAUUGUCCUUCUUCUUUGUGUACCUUUCCAUUGAAAUUACUCAAACCAAUUUGUACUAAUCAUCAAUGUAUCUGCCAACAUAUAUAGUUAAAUUGAAAAUUAUAUCUUAUUUUUAAGCCUA